rnacentral:rRNA from 1 species
UCUUGUCCCCUUGGAUGGGUAGUCGACAUUAGCUGAUGCGGGCUUUGUGUGGUAUCGCUUGAACUUGCUUUUCUCUCUCUUUCCCUCCCAUCAGGUAGGGCGGAUUUAGCUCCAACUUUGCGACCUUAGCUUAGGCGAGAACAGCCACUGAGUUUAAGCAUUUAAUUAAGUGGAGGAAAGGAAACUUACAAGGAUUCCCCUAGUAGCGGUGAGUGAACCGAGAAGAGCCCAGCAUGAAAAUCGGGUGGUAGCAUCGCCUGAAUUGUAGUAUGUAGAAGCAUCCUCAAUGGUGGACCUGGGCCAAGUCCCUUGGAAGGGGGUGCUUGAGAGGGUGAUAGCCCUGUUGGCCCGGGACCCUGCCACAUCACAGUGCAUUCUCAGCGAGUCAGGUUGUUUGGGAAUGCAGCCCUAAUUGGGUGGUAAAUUAUGUCCAAGGCUAACUACGGGCGAGAGACCGAUAGUGAAAAAGUACCACAAGGGACUUUGAAAAGAGAGUAAAAGAGUUCUUGAAAUUUCCAGGAGGGAAGUGGAUGGAGGCUAUCGAUGCAUCUCAGUUGGAUGUGGAAGCGCGCAACCUAUACUCGACUGUCGGAGCAAUUUCCUGACUCCAAUGAGUAGAAGGAUGUGGGGGUUGUUGAGAAACCUUGGGCAUGAUCUUGGGUGGAUCGGCCCCUAGUGAAAAUCUUGGUGGUAGUAGAAAAUAUUCAAAUGAGAACUUUUAAGACUGAAGUGGGGAAAGGUUCCAUGUGAACAAGACUUGGACAUGGGUUAGUUAAUCCUAAGAGAUGGGGAAGCCUUGUAUCAAGGGUUCACUCUGCAUGAGCAUCGAAAGGGAAUCGGGUUAAUAUUCUUGAACCGGGACAUGUCGGCGAGCGACAACGUUAGGAAAUCCGGAGACGUCGUCGAGGGCCCCGGGAAGAGUUAUCUUUUCUUUUUAACAGCUUGCCCACCCUAGAAUCGGUUCACCCGGAGAUAGGGUCCAAUAGCUGGAAGAACACCACACGUCUUGCCAUUUUCGGUGCACCAUCGGCAGCCCUUGAAAAUCUGGAGGACCAAGUACUGUUCAUGCCCGGUCAUACUCAUAACUGCACCAGAACUCCAAGGUGAACAGCCUCUGGUCAAUAGAACAAUGUAGGUAAGGGAAGUCGGCAAAACGGAUCUGUAACUUCGGGAAAAGAAUUAGAUCUGAGGGUUGGGCCUAUGGGUCUGCGCCCUCAAUUCAUGGGUUGUCGAUAGUCUGCCCGAGCUGCUCUCAUGGAGAGGGUGGGCAGUUGCAUUCCGAUUGUGCUACGGGCGUAGAAUUCCCCCUGCCGGGGGAUUUUCCCUAGGUGUCGAACAGUCAACUUAGAACUGGUAUGGAUAAGGGGAAUCCAACUGUUUAAUUAAAACAAAGAAUUGCGAUGGUCCUUGCGAAUGCUGACGCAAUGUGAUUUCUACCCAGUGCUCUAAAUGUCAAAGUGAAGAAAUUCAACCAAGCGCAGGUAAACGGUGGGAGUAACUAUGACUCUCUUAAGGUAGCCAAAUGCCUUUUCAUCUAAUUAGUGACGCACAUGAAUGGAUUAACGAGAUUCCCACUGUCCCUAUCUACUAUCUAGCGAAACCACAGCCAAGGGAAUGGGUUUGGCAGAAUCAGCGGGGAAAGAAGACCCUGUUGAGCUUGACUCUAGUCCGACUUUGUGAAAUGACUUGAGAGGUGUAGAAUAAGUGGGAGUUGUUUUUAGCGCAAGUGAAAUACCACUACUUUUAUGGUUAUUUUACUUAUUAUGUGGGGCAGAGAUGGGGCACUACUCCUGUUUUUUGCCUUAAGGCACGUUUCGAUGGGUCGAUCUGGGUGGAAGACAUUGUCAGGUGGGGAGUUUGACUAGGGCGGCACAUCUAUUAAAAGAUAACGCAAGUGUCCUAAGAUGAGCUCAACGAGAAUAGAAAUCUCAUGUGGAACAAAAGGGUAAAAGCUCAUUUGAUUUUGAUUUUCAGUACGAAUACAAACCGUGAAAGCGUGGCCUAUCGAUCCUUUAGAUUUUUGGAAUUUGAAGCUAGAGGUGUUAGAAAAGUUACCACAGGGAUAACUGGCUUGUGGCAGCCAAUCGUUCAUAGUGACGUUGCUUUUUGAUCCUUCGAUGUCGGCUCUUCCUAUCAUUGUGAAGCAGAAUUCACCAAGUGUUGGAUUCUUCACCCACCAAUAGGGAACGUGAGUUGGGUUUAGACCGUUGUGAGAUAGGUUAGUUUUACCCUACUAAUGAACCGCAUCGCAAUAGUAAUUCAACUUAGUAUGAGAGGAAUCAUUGAUUCACACAAUUGGUCAUCACGCUUGGUUGAAAAGCUAGUGGCGCGAAGCUACCGUGUGUCGGAUUAUGACUGAACACCUCUAAGUUAGAAUCCACACUAGAAGCGGUGCAUGUCACUCUUUGACUGUAUCUCGACCCGUAGUAGGGGCGUCACUUUGUCGCCCCCAGGGGCCCGUGUUAUUUGCAAACCAUGACCGUGAAGCAUCUCGAUUGGGGUAGCUUUGAAGUUCAAUUCCAAACGGUCGUUGAGAAGAAUCCUUUGCAGACAACUUAAAUACGCGACAGGGUAUUGUAAGUGGUAGAGUGGCCUUGUUGCCACAAUCCACUAAGGUUCAGCCCUUGGUCGCCUCGAUUCAGAGCUUCGCUCUUG